rnacentral:rRNA from 1 species
GAUGAACGCUGGCGGCGUGCUUAACACAUGCAAGUCGAACGGGGAUUAUUUUGACAGAGACUUCGGUUGAAGUCGUUAUAAUCCUAGUGGCGGACGGGUGAGUAACGCGUGGGUAACCUGCCUCACACUGGGGGAUAACAGUCAGAAAUGGCUGCUAAUACCGCAUAAGCGCACAGAGCUGCAUGGCUCAGUGUGAAAAACUCCGGUGGUAUAAGAUGGACCCGCGUUGGAUUAGCUAGUUGGUGGGGUAACGGCCCACCAAGGCGACGAUCCAUAGCCGGCCUGAGAGGGUGAACGGCCACAUUGGGACUGAGACACGGCCCAGACUCCUACGGGAGGCAGCAGUGGGGAAUAUUGCACAAUGGGGGAAACCCUGAUGCAGCGACGCCGCGUGAAGGAAGAAGUAUCUCGGUAUGUAAACUUCUAUCAGCAGGGAAGAUAGUGAC